CCAAUACCGAAUCUACAAUUAAGCGAGAAUCCUUUUGAAGUUCCAUAGGAAGGGUAGACCUCAACACCCAGUAUCUAUGUAGAUUUGAUGAAUUGGCAUUCGAUGUGGCCGGUCUUCGAAGUUGAGAAACCGCCAUGUCUUUUUUCCGAUUCGAUUGUGUAACCGCGACGAGACGAAACCCAAAGCUUAGCUGCAACUGUCGAUCUGCUUCUUCAAAAACGGAUUGAAAAAGAUUUCGGGAUGUACCUUCAGGGAAUGCUUUUUGAACUAUGUCUUUUCGUGUAAUUGUGUUAUGAGAAGUUUGGGAGCAUAUUGCAUAACGGACCACAUUUCGUACCAAUAGUUGAAAAUUUAUUGCGUCUGUUUCAUUCCGUUCUUCAAAUUGACUUUGAAGCUCCAAGGGGUCACCUUUUCGUCUUUUUCUUCCUCUAGAGCUCCGGGACAUAGAUGGUCCAAAAUCAUCUUCGUUCCCCGAACCCUCUAAAUCCUCUUCAUAUUCAUCUAAGUCUGAUGCUUCUUCAUCUGCGAUAAUUUGCGAUGCCGUAGGUCGCACCUCUUGUGUAAGCCUACUACGGCCUUUUGAAGAUGACUUUCCAGUGAAACUGAGUUGGCUCAUUUCAUUUUGGCCCUCGUAAUUUCAGUACAAGACUAAACUUUCCGAUGCUAAAAUGAGAUUUCAGAACU